rnacentral:tRNA from 1 species
ACCUGGGUGGUUCAUUGGUUAAGCAUCUGACUUCAGCUCAGGUCAUGAUCUCACAGUUUGUGGGUUCAAGUCCCACAUUGGGCU